CGGGGUGUAGCGCAGUUGGCUAGCGCGCGUGGUUUGGGACCAUGAGGUCGUGGGUUCGAGUCCCACCUCCCCGA
rnacentral:tRNA from 1 species